rnacentral:lncRNA from 1 species
GUGAGUUCAGCAUCCGCUAGUUGAGUAUUUGUGGCAACACCAUGGGAAAAUUCACCUCGAAUCAAGGGAAUUGGCUGUGUUUGGAAGGACCAGGAAGAUCAGAGAAGGACAGGUGACCCCUGUGAAAGGGUUGUGACCCACAGGUAGAGAACCACUGUUCCAGGCUCAGCCAGGCGAUAACAAAUGAAAACUGGAUGCCAGUUCCUUCAGAGUAUGCGUUCUUUCCUAGAGAUGUCACAAGAGAUAGAGACAGAGAGAUGGGAUCGGCCCACACGACAGCACUGGGUUACUGUGGACCCUUUAUGAAGGGCAGACUCUUCU